ensembl:lncRNA
GGGCACUGGUGUGGUGGGUUUAUGAGGCUCAGCCUCAGGCAAGCUUUCUGGUGGUGAGAGAGGAGCAUGAAGCUUGCAGCACUGCGGCUCUGCAGGUGUUGUGUGCUGUGCAGCAGCACGGUCACUUAUGCACAGUGCAAUGGGGACUUGGCUGCAGAUUUGCAGCUGGGUUCUGCUCAGGGUGUGUGGCUGCUCGGCCUCACUGCUGCUUUCCUGCACUGGAUGCGUGCACCUCCAGGAGUGUUGGUUCUUCUGCAUCUCAGGGAAGGAGACUUAUCCUCAUCUGCGCCCUUUUCAGCUGUGAAGGAAGUGUUGGUGCAGGGUCUCCAGGAGGGCCAUAGGUCCUAUGGGUCAACCUGGGCUCAUCCACGCAGAGCUCCUCCUGGCGCAGUGUGUCUGCCAUAUCCCAGUUUCUCACACUGGAUGGGCUGAGCUGCACCACGGGGAGGUGUUGGGAAGCACAGCGGCUGAAUGUGCCACUCCAGAGGCCACUCACAGCCAGGGCGCAUCCCCAGACUGCUCAUUUCUGGGCUCUCUUACCACCCAUGCAAGCACCUCCAUGAGGCCAACAUGCCCAGCAGACUCCACCAUGUGGCAUUUCCCAGCAGACCUCCCCAUGCUGCUUCUCCAGACUGCAUGUGCAGCUGCAAGCAGGAAUUCCCAGAGGAGCAGAAGAACUCUCCGGGCUCUGCUGUUAUCCUACAAGGCAUCAGCGUGGGGCCGGAUAAACCCAACGGAUCAAGGGCAGCUUGGCUGGUCAAUGGGAGGCAGCCAAGGCAAACAGCAGUGGCUCCCAGACCUCAACAGGAGCCCCUCAGUGGCUCACUGCACUUCAUUUGCUCUUUUGCUUUUAGGAGAAGGGGUGAGGUGUGGGGCUGGGCACGACGACAUGUGGGCUCUCAAGCGAACCCCCCCAGGGCCGAUGGAAACUGCGUACCGCUCAGCACGCUGCGCACGUCAUUAGGAAAAUGUUAGUUAAAAGGAAAGAUGCAAAUGGUCCCAGGCUGUGCUUCCUGAUCACUCCGCAGUGCCUCUGUGACAUCAUGUGCUUUUGUUACGGCUCCGAAACGCCUUCGAUGCUUUUUCGGGCACGUUCCCUCCCGCUCUGUCAGGGCUGGUUCACAUUAGGAUGUUUGCUCAGCAGCUACUGGGGUUUUGGCAGGACGGCUGCUGCCUUCUGCUUGCAGAGCACGAGGGGAUCGUGGGAUGCUGCUGGACGUGUCAAAGUGGA